UCUGAGGCUUCUAAUUAGAUAACAGGUGAUUCCUAGGGCAAGAAUCACUUGCAUGCUGAUAAAAGCCAGGGAGGCUCAGAGAAGCUAGAAACAACUGGAUCAUCAACACAAACUACUGCACUCCACUGGAAUUGAACAAAGACCUUUGCUGAAAUGCCCUAGCCAGCAAGAAAUGGUAACAUUCAGAUGAGAGAUGACCUUCAAGCAAGUACUGGUUAGAGGUAAAGAAACUGAAGCACAAACAAGUUGGGUAAGCUGCACAAGUUUACAAAGAUAUUUAGAAAUUGCAUCAAGAAUGUCCUGGCAUUCAGACUAAUGCAUAGAAGAGCCUAGAUCAAGGAUGGUUAGCUACAACUGAAAAUAUGAGAAGAAGAAGGAAUGAUUGCAUUAUUUUCCAAAUGGUUCUUAGAAAAGAGAGAUCCUCCAUUUUCAUGAAAGUCAGCCACGUAAAGGAGUUCAAGCCUCAUGAAGAAGAUAAUUCCUGGAUCACUAAGAAAGUACUUGUAGCAUAGGUGGAUGAAGUCUCCCAAGAUCUAUGAUAAUCAGGAGCCAAGUUCUUAAAUUUAGGAUGGACCAAGUUUGGUUGAUAUCUUCUUCAAAGUCUGUGUUUGCAAAUGGAAGCACAGAGGUAAUUAUUUUGCAUAUAUUUCACACCUCUUCUCUCUUCUAAAAUGUUCAAUACUGCCCUUCUUCACUUCACUCCUACCUCUUAUUACGUUGAGGAAAUAAAAACAAAAUCAGAGUAUAGUCACCACAGAGGCCUAACAACCUCCCUUCAUCUAUAGUCCAGCAAAUGAAUUGUCCUGGUUUCUAAAUUUUGAAUCUCUUCACUUGCAUACUAAUCCCAAUCCUCUUUCACACCUGUAGUACUUUGGCUCCUGCAGUAUUCUCUUUUUUGUCUCAAUCAACUUCUCUCUCCGGAGAGGACCAUUUCUAUGUUUAUGUGAGCCAGUAUUCCUGUAUUCUAAAGAGCAUGGGAAAUAACUGGGUUUGAAAUCCUGGCCUCGCCCUUUAGUAGCUCCAUUGAGUCCAUUACUAACACUUUUUGUGAGUCAAUUUUAUCUGUAAAAUAAGAGGUUCUUAUGAAUAUUAUGAAUUAAAUAAAUUGGUACUUGUAAAACACUUAGAACACAUUCUAGUAUGUGCUAAGCUAUAUAAGCAUUAGCUAAUUUUAUUAUUGGCAUAGAAAUAUACCCCAGUAUUUUCCAUAUUUUAAAAAGAUCAUCUUUAGACAUUGGUCACCUUCCGUCUACAGCUCUGUUUACUGAUUAUCUUCGUAACAAACUCUUCAAAGUAGUCUCUUAUAUCACCGCUCCCUCCCUCCCCUCUUGGUCUUCCAAUCAAGUAUGACUCCCCCACAAGACUCCACUGCAUCAGCUCUCAGGUAAUCUCACCAGUGGCCUUCAUAUUGCCAAAGGGAGUCAGUAAAACUGUGCUAUUAUUUUCUUACUAACAAGGAUAGAGUAAUUUCAGCCAACAUCUAGGUUACAUUAAAAGCAGUACAAACAGAAUAUUUUCUAGGAUCACACAAAUCAAGUUCACUUUAACAGUUAGAACCGAAGCCUGUUGGAUCAACAGUUCUCACACACUAGCACAGCACCUCAUCUCUCUUCUGUAUAGUAUAGCUGUGAAAUCUCUAGCGUGGGGCUGUCAUAUAUGGUCUGCCCACAAUCUCUUUUCAUUUCUUUCCACCUGCCUGCUGCUGUCUUGCAAUCUCACUGAUUCUCUCAACCAGGACUCACCUUCACUCUGCUUGCCUCUGCUGAUGUUGCCUGUGCUAGACUUUGACACUUAGGGCAAAUUUAUUAUCCAAAUCAGGACACUAUUGAGAGUGAAAAAGGCUGCCUUAGAGCAACUUCCCAGGAAGUGGAGCCCACCUAAAAUAAGGAUUCAUGUGGACAUAAUUCAUCAAGGGAGUGUUCUUCAGGUAAAACUAUACCAUUGACUGUGACUCACUCCUGAAGGGCCUCUUUCUGAAAGCUGAGAUAAUUCCGCUUGCAUGUAUGUGUGUGUUGUACAGAAAGGGGCUGAUGUGAUGUCAGCUGUAAGUCAUCAGCAGUCUACACACCAAUUGAGAUAUGGGUACACCAGGCUAUAAAAUAAUCUGAGUGAGUCACUAAUAGCACCUAAUGUACAGAAGUACAGAAGUACCAUUGAUAAUUAUGCCAGGACCAUCUCAUGCAAACCAGGACAUUUGGUCAGUCUUUUAUCCCUUUUACUCACAUCACCACCCAUGCUGUGGCUCUCCUCUGCUUUAAGUCUUCGAUGGUUCCUAUGGUCAUUGGGGAUCAUGGCCACACCCACCGAGGAUCACUACAUGGACUCCCUCAGGCUGCUGCUCCAUGCCUCUGUCACUGACCACCACUCUCUGCACAGACUACUUCAUGAGCUGCAAGCUGCUUCUUCUACACAGCAGAUGGUGGAAUGCAACUCAGAAAUCUUUGCCUUCAUGACUUGCCUUUGGGUCUCUGCCUCUGAGUCAACUCUUGCCUAUGGCUCCCAGAACUCUUUACCAUCAAAGUCCACCUGUAAAUCUUUGGUGCUUUUUGUGGAAUCCUCACUGCCUCUCAAAAAUGUCCUAUUUUGGGCAAUAAAUCCUAAUUUUGCCGCACUGGAAAUCCUGGUGUUUCAUAUUCAGCACUCUUCUACAGGGCACACAGGAACUGCAUAGAGGCCUUGGGAAAAGUGAGUUCAAAUGCAGCCUGUCACUGUCCUCAGAGUCACUGACCCCUACAAAUCAGGCUAUGUUACCAAAUCCAGUUGGACUGAUGAGACUAUUUAUCCCUUCACAUUCUCUCAAAGAUCUCACAGCACUCUCUGUAGUUUAGAUUUAUUUGGGCCCUCUCCAAAGGUCAGCAGAUAUUUAAAUGUACUCUGAUCCUGAAGUGUGUACAAGUUAUUUAUGAAAAGACUCAAAGUCUUUUGCAAAUAAAUGCAUAGAGCUGGAACUAUAUACCAGGACAUUUUGCCUAAGUCCAAAUAUAAAUUUUAAUUAUGUUUUUACUAUGAACUAGACAGACUCUUAGAUACAAAACGACAUUGUAAAGUAUGGAGAUUUGCAACUUUCAUUGUAUUUGUGCCUGAACAUGAUGAUCCUAAAGUUCACUCGAAGAAAUGCCUCUCAGUAGAAUAAAAGAACAUCUCUUGUGGUAUUUAAAUGGAUAUCAGUUUCUUCCCAUUUUCAUAUAAAAGCUCAGAGGGUUAUCUGGAAUUCACUUCACAUCACUGUGCACCAAUAUGCUAAUACCCUGCAUAAUUACUUAGCCUCAUUUGUACAUGAAUGGUCACAUAUAAUAGAUGUUCUGAGUAAGAAAGUAAAAGUCAAUAUGAGUUUGAACAUCUGGGAACGGAGUUAAGUCCAGUAGAUCUUAUUAUGUAAUGUUCUUAUUUAGAUACUUCUCAAGUCUUAGGCAAUUACUUAAUAGUGGAGUGAUAAGAACAAAGAGCACUUGGAUACAGAUUUGCUUGCAGGAGAGAGCAC
rnacentral:lncRNA from 10 species